rnacentral:rRNA from 1 species
GAUCCUGGCUCAGGAUGAACGCUAGCGGCAGGCUUAACACAUGCAAGUCGAGGGGUAUGCUUCUUCGGGAGCAGAGACCGGCGCACGGGUGCGUAACGCGUAUGCAAUCUACCUUUUACAGAGGGAUAGCCCAGAGAAAUUUGGAUUAAUACCUCAUAGUAUAUAGACUCGGCAUCGAGAUUAUAUUAAAGUCACAACGGUAAAAGAUGAGCAUGCGUCCCAUUAGCUAGUUGGUAAGGUAACGGCUUACCAAGGCUACGAUGGGUAGGGGUCCUGAGAGGGAGAUCCCCCACACUGGUACUGAGACACGGACCAGACUCCUACGGGAGGCAGCAGUGAGGAAUAUUGGACAAUGGGCGCAAGCCUGAUCCAGCCAUGCCGCGUGCAGGAUGACGGUCCUAUGGAUUGUAAACUGCUUUUGUACAGGAAGAAACACNGUUCGUGAACCAG